GACGAACGCUGGCGGCGUGCCUAAUACAUGCAAGUCGAACGCAUUUUCUUUCACCGUAGCUUGCUACACCGAAAGAAAAUGAGUGGCGAACGGGUGAGUAACACGUGGGUAACCUGCCCAUCAGCGGGGGAUAACACUUGGAAACAGGUGCUAAUACCGCAUAAUUCCAUUUACCGCAUGGUAAAUGGAUGAAAGGCGCUUUUGCGUCACUGAUGGAUGGACCCGCGGUGCAUUAGCUAGUUGGUGGGGUAACGGCCUACCAAGGCUGCGAUGCAUAGCCGACCUGAGAGGGUGAUCGGCCACACUGGGACUGAGACACGGCCCAGACUACUACGGGAGGCAGCAGUAGGGAAUCUUCGGCAAUGGACGCAAGUCUGACCGAGCAACGCCGCGUGAGUGAAGAAGGUUUUCGGAUCGUAAAACUCUGUUGUUAGAGAAGAACAAGGAUGAGAGUGGAAAGUUCAUCCCUUGACGGUAUCUAACCAGAAAGCCACGGUUAACUACGUG
rnacentral:rRNA from 1 species